rnacentral:lncRNA from 1 species
CCACCACGAACAACAGACUUCAUCCCUAGGAUGCAAGUUCUCAGGAUUCAAGAUGAAGAAGAUAAAGUUCCUGCCCCAAGAAGCUCUGUAUAAAGUCUAAAGGGCCUGGGAUUAAUUCUGUGUUGUUUAAUGAUGUAUUUCAAGUGCCUGAAGACAAAGAAAGGUGACAGAAUAGCUGUUAGAAUAGUGACUGUUGGUUUUAUUUAAACCUAGGAAGGAUUAGUUGGGAAUUUGUAGAAAAAAGGUAGGAUUUUCUAUUAACCCACAAACUUACAUUCAGCAUUCUGCCUUGAGUACUUUCUUUUGAUUUUCUACAUGCCAGGUUUUCCCAUAAACCAUAAUGUUUCAAAAUACAGCUCCUACUCAAAGCUA